UUAAGUUCAGCGGGUAGUCCUACCUGAUUUGAGGUCAAAUUUGUCAAAUGUGCACCCCCACAACAGGGAUUCACUUGUUAAGAAGCAGUUCAUGCAGAGUACUAAAGGCAUAGAUAAUUAUCACACCUGUAGCAGUUUCUCUGCUCGGAGACCACUAAUGCAUUUCAGGGGAGCCGACUUUGAAAAGCCUGCAAAAUAAC
rnacentral:misc_RNA from 1 species